CGUUACAGACUUCGCCAUAGCCGCGUCUAAGAGGGAAUGCAAUUCCUCUGAGUCCAUAUGCUCCUGCGCUGUUUCCAACGCUGUGGGCAUUUUGGGGCCCUGUAAGGGAGGGGUGGGUAUGGUGGCUCUAGGUGUAGUGGCACUAUAAGCACUGUGUUCAGCCUGCAUGUUUGGGAUGGACGGGCGGUAAAUACAGGCAAGGCUGAGACUUAUACCCCUUCAGCAAAUUAAUAGAGUGGCUAACUCCCAACUACAGUAAUGAGAAAUACACUAGCAGGCACCAGACACC
rnacentral:lncRNA from 1 species